rnacentral:SRP_RNA from 1 species
CGGACCCAUGCGGCUUCGACUCCCAAACCUGGUCAGGACCGGAAGGUAGCAGCCACAAGGGAUGCUCGGUGCAGGCGUGGC